rnacentral:rRNA from 1 species
AACGAACGCUGGCGGCAUGCCUAACACAUGCAAGUCGAACGAGACCUUCGGGUCUAGUGGCGCACGGGUGCGUAACGCGUGGGAACCUGCCCUUAGGUUCGGAAUAACUCCCCGAAAGGGGUGCUAAUACCGGAUAAUGUCUUCGGACCAAAGAUUUAUCGCCUUAGGAUGGGCCCGCGUUGGAUUAGCUAGUUGGUAGGGUAAAAGCCUACCAAGGCGACGAUCCAUAGCUGGUCUGAGAGGAUGAUCAGCCACACUGGGACUGAGACACGGCCCAGACUCCUACGGGAGGCAGCAGUGGGGAAUAUUGGACAAUGGGGGAAAGCCUGAUCCAGCAAUGCCGCGUGAGUGAUGAAGGCCUUAGGGUUGUAAAGCUCUUUUACCCGGGAUGAUAAUGACAGUACCGGGAGAAUAAGCCCCGGCUAACUCCGUG